GACGAACGCUGGCGGCGUGCCUAAUACAUGCAAGUAGAACGCGGAAGGAGGAGCUUGCUUCUCUGGAUGAGUUGCGAACGGGUGAGUAACGCGUAGGUAACCUGCCUGGUAGCGGGGGAUAACUAUUGGAAACGAUAGCUAAUACCGCAUAAGAGUAGAUGUCGCAUGACAUUUGCUUAAAAGGUGCAAUUGCAUCACUACCAGAUGGACCUGCGUUGUAUUAGCUAGUUGGUGAGGUAACGGCUCACCAAGGCAACGAGACAUAGCCGACCGGAGACGGGGGUCGGCCACCCUGGGACCUGGACCCGGGACACAGCCCUAAGGGCGGCGGCAGGAGGGAGUCGUGGGCAAUGGACGGAAGGCGGAACGAGCAAGGCCGGAUGAGGGAAGAAGGAUGUCGGACCGUGAAGCGCAGUUGUAAGAGAAGAACGAGCGUGAGAGUGGCAAGUUCACAGUGUGACGGUACCUUAACAGAAAGGGACGGCUAACUACGUG
rnacentral:rRNA from 1 species